UCAUUCAGUUGUCUCAGUGUUUUCUGUCUUGCUUUAAUUUACAUCCCUCCUCUGAAUUUCCUGGUUAGUUUCUAAGCAUUUAGGGAGAAGGAUAUUUAUUGUAUGUUCACACAGAGAUUAAAAGAACAGGCUCCCUCCCAUAUCACAGAAGAUGGCUAAUGUAUACAAACAAUUAAUCCAUCUGGGGCUUAAUCUGAAGAUGGAAGAUUAGCAUAAUGGGCACUACGAUGAUGAUACCUGAGGAAGAAAAAUGGGCAGUAUUGAAAUGAUCUCACUGUCAAGGAAGCUGCUUAAAAAUAAUAUGCUGGAAGCAUAUCCUUAACAUAAUCAUCAACUUGCCUUCUGUGGAGUGAUUGUGACUGCCUUAGGGUGCAUUCAGGAUGUAAGAAUCUUCUGGCUUUACUGGACCUUUGUAAGACCCUACUGGAUCUUGGCAACCUGCUCUGGUGUGGAUGUGUGAUCGAGCCCUCAUUACUGGAGUCAUUGCUCCACAAUGCCCAUGCAGACUUGCUUGGGAGAGGCAAGUGUGCAAUGAUCCUACUGCUGAACCUGCCCCAGUGUAUUGCAGCUCUACCAGAGAAAUGCAGGCUUGUGAUCUCCCACUGGACAGUAGGGUCCAAAGCACGGCACACAAACACUGUCAUGAUUUACUCUUUGAGCUGUUUUGRACCCUGAGAACACUGCGAAGGGGGACAAAAUUAUCAGCUCCUGUAUGUAUAGCUGUGUCUGUGCUCUGCAGUGUUCUUGUGCCUCUUUCAGAUUUCCAGUUUGGUUGUAAAUGGAUUUUUUUUCUUAUUUAUUUUUUUUAAGGAAAUACCACCCCCUAAAAUCAAGAGCUUGUUAAACAGUUGCAGGCAAUUAAGCAUGUGCUAUCUCCACACCCUUCCCACCCUGCUGWUACAGUCAGAUGCCCAUUCAAACAAGCCAUUUUGUUUCAAACCACACCGGAUAAAAUAAUAAUCCAAAACACAGUAUUUCUUUAAUUCCAAAAUUUAUACAAGUUUACAAAUCAAUAUACCACCACACAAAGUAGUGAAAGGAAGAGAAGGUAUGUUUAGCAACAUUUUACUAUAUCAUAACUAUGUUCAAAUAUUGUUAAAUUUGACAUAGUAUUGCAAGAUUUUUUUUUAAUAUAAAGAAUUAAUGCAUGAACAAGAAGAUACAGAUAAUACCAUUACUUUCUUUGUUUCUAUSCAACGCAAUAUAUAGCUUCUAGAAAAUAUUGGUGAAAUGCUGUAUCUACUUCAUAUGAGCUUUAUUUCCAUUAAAAUCUUGAAACAAAAUGGCAACACAAAGUGAAACCCGACCUUACUAAUUAUUAAAGUCAAUAAAUAGAAAUAUGUUUGAACAUUACAGCAAAUAUAUGUUAAUUUCACUCCAUUUCCCCCUUUCUCUGUACAGAUACAGUUCCAUAAGUUUUGGUGGGAUUUUUUUUUCAGAUUUCUGUUAAAUACAAGUUUCAAACUAUU